GUUUCUCCCGUCCGGAAGCGGCCUGUGUCGUCCCGUUGCACUUUUUUCCCCUCUCUUCCUCAUACCGUGCGCCCUUCGCGCUUCACUGUGAGACGUCUGCUGAGGAGAAUGUCGCUGCUCAAUACCACUCUCCAAACCCUUGUGGUCCGGUUGCGCGACAUGUCCGGCAACGUGACGCAGCAGAAGCUUCACAACCGCGUGUUUGACGCAUACGAGGCUAAGUCGCUUGUCUUCCAAGUUAUCUCACCUGCACAGCAACUCGUGAUGAAGCAGUACAGUGGUCGAAUCCCCCCAAUGCACCCCGUCGGCCAGCCCCUCAUGGUGGACUCGUGGAGUGAGCUGGUAGAACUGCAUAAGCCGGACAACGAGUACCAGCUUCUGCCGCGGCGUGCACGCAACAACAACGCGUACGCAGUGAUGUCGGCUAUCUGCUGCAGCGCUGGAUCGCCGUUCGAGAUGGACCACCGGCUGGAGCCUGUAGACUUCAAGCUAGUUUUCAAGUCACAGGCAGAUCAGGACGCGCGCACGGCAUUCAAUCUCAAGCACACCGACAAAGUACCGCAGACGAUCUUCUUGGAUGGGCUGAUGGAGGCUCCGAAAGCCUCGGCACUCGUGUCCUUUCACAACAUCCUCACCCCCGCGCACGUGAACAACCUCGCUGGCACAGAGCAGUUUCUCCGAGAGUGGUGUAGGGAGCCUGCCGACGGAGACCGCCAUCGCCAGCUGAAGCUCUGUUUCAGCUCACUUUUGGAGAAGCAGACGCAUCUUUUCCUCGGUACCAACGCGGCGCCUGGUCGGGAGCUGCUGAACUACGCAAAAGGGAAGAACAUUUUUGUCUACGCAAAGAAGGGAAUGGCGUACCAGUAUGUUCCCUAGGCGAGAAACCAAAAUCUUUCAUGCCCACAAUACGUAUGCACACGCACAGAAACCUGUGCCGGCACCCGGGUGCACAUCCUUGGCGAAAGUAUGUGCGUUGUCACCCUCCUGUGUCGGGUGUCGCGUGGCGAGGUUUUUUUUUCUGUCUUCCCUUUUCCUUCUAUUCUCUUCACAGUUUUGCGGCAGUCAUUGCCCGAACGCAUGGCUGUCCGCCUCUGAUGUGCGCCAGAAGGUUUGCGUGAGUGUAUGUGCCGGCAGUGCUUUGUGCGUUGGUUUGCGUUUGUUUACUUAGUGCGCGCGCUCACAUGUUCGUAUGUUGGUGCUCGUGUACGCGUCGAGUGAUGCCGUUUCGUUAAGAGGAUACGGGGCGCGCUUUCUGCGCGCCUCCAUGUCGACCCUGCUUCGGCGGCUGAGCAGCAGCAUAGACUCCACAGAUACCCAGAAGCAGCGAAACUGGUUUUAAAGGCGCUGACUAAGUAUCGGCCUGUGAUCUGGCCACGGCCACGCUUGCCAACGAUGGCACAUCCCGGGGGUACGCCGAGCUAGGUCACGCUCGCGACGGGCACAUCCGGGUCGAGUGAAGGGUACCAUAUGCUGCCCAUUCCCUCCCUCGGUUCCUCCCUCCGCAGUCGCUCCUGUGUGAGCUCUCGCUCGAAGCCUCUCCCCCGCCCUCACCACUUCUCUUCCUGCCGUCUCCCUUUUGAGCCACCUGAGCACGCACACGUUUAUUAG
rnacentral:misc_RNA from 1 species